GAAGGAAGGAAGGAAGGAAGGAAGGAAGGAAGGAAGGAAGGAAGGAAGGAAGGAAGGAAGGAAGGAAGAUCUAAGUUCAAAUCUCAGUUUUACUACUUGUUACUUGUGUGACUAUGGGUUCAGGAAUCUGAAGCUGUUCAGUGAUUCACCGAGGGUCACAUGUUUCUGUUGUGGCUAUAUGAUUUCUGGAUUACCUUCAUGCUACAAGUAAGAAAACAGAUGAUCGUGAUGACCACUUGCUACAGACUUGUGACUAUCAAAUGGCAAGGUUAGGACACAAACCCAGCAAAAAACCAGUCUCUUUCCAGGAUACCAGCGACUUCUCAUGCCCCUCCACCACGUCUAUUAGUAUUUUCAUAAACUGAAACUGAACUGGAGUGACUCAAAUGACCUCUUGUCUCCAUAUAUUUAUAAAGCACCUGCUGUUUGUAUAGCAUUCUAAGAGGCUUUGAAUAGGGCUUUGUUUAUCAAAUGACCACAACUUAAAAUAUAGUAAUGGCAGGCUCUUGAGUAGGAAUGGAGUUCAUCCAACAAAGAAUGGUAAAAAUGUAACUGGAGUGAAAAGUGAUUUAAGGUCAAAAUGAAACGGGUAGACCUACAGCUGUCUAUAUGCAUCUACCAAGUUGGAUGUCCUCAUAACAAUGAUGGUGACAAGGAGUGAAUCGGUGAUUUCACCAGCACAUUUUAUGCAAUUUAUGGUCUUAAAGAGUUGCCUAGGACACUAAAGUGUCCAAUGUUACAAGGCCAAUAUAUAUCAGAGCCAGGUUCAAUACUCCAACCACUGUACCACCUAGCCAGUGUUGUACAUUUUUAUCAGUGACUUUGAUCAGAGAAUAGAUGACAUUGUAAGAGGGAAAAUGGGUUUAAUUUUUAAAGGGUUGGGCUUGAAUAUUUAAGAGGGGUCACCAGGAAUUUAAUUGAUUCCAAAGAGAUUUAUUUACAAAAUAUAGAAAAAAUGAAGAGGAAAAUCAGAGAGAGGAUAGGGUAAGAUAUCUAGCUGAGGCACUAAGUCAUUUACUCCUGGCCCCUCCAGGCAGGGAGAAUUAGUUUCAGCCACCCUCAGCAAAGCUGAGGACCUAGGAAGUUUCUCUCAAGAGGACAGGUCUUUCCUGAGGCUGUUUUCUUCAGAGAAAAGCCAGCAGUUGAGUUAGCUUUUUUCACUCACCAUGUGUCAGUCCAGCCAGCAGAUCCUUUUGCCUCUCUUUACCAGCCUCAACUUGAAAGCACCAAGAAUUGAAUCCUCACAGGAAGUAACAGCUCCUUUUAAAGACCUUUCCUCUUGUGUCAUUUCCUGUUUCAUCCUCCAAUUCUACGUCUAUUAAUCACAGUUGAAGUCCUGUUCUAGGACUGCCUAGAAGGCAGUUAGUGGAUUCAGAUUCACUGUUGCACAUGUGGGUCACAGACCUCCCACUUUAUGAUUAAGUCGGAUAUUUGCACUUUUGGUGAUUAGAUCUAAAUGGGCAGAUCUUCAUACUUAACUUUUAAGUACCAUGUUUACACCUAUGAGGAUUAAAUCUAAAAAUAGACAUGGGUAACAAUUUAGUUUUCACAAUCAGGAGAGGAUCACAAUCAGUACCUUCAUUGUUACAAUCAGGGGAGAGCCAAAUCCAGUCUUCACAACAUGCUUAUCAAGUUGCUAGAUGGUACAAGGUUUAAAGAAAGAUAACCAUUGGCUGACCACCUAAGGAUACAAAAAUAUUUGAUACCCUAGAUUCUAGGGUCAAACAUUGGGUAGAACGUAAUGAGAAGGAAAUUUAAUCAAGAUAAAUGUAGUCUUAUAAUCAGGUUCCAAAGAAUG